UACGGAGGAUCCAAGCGUUAUCCGGAUUUAUUGGGUUUAAAGGGUGCGUAGGCGGAAUAGUAAGUCAGUGGUGAAAGCCUGUUGCUUAACAACAGAACUGCCAUUGAUACUGCUAAUCUUGAGUACAUUUGAUGUGGGCGGAAUGUGUCAUGUAGCGGUGAAAUGCAUAGAUAUGACACAGAACACCGAUUGCGAAGGCAGCUCACAAAACUGUAACUGACGCUGAGGCACGAAAGCGUGGGGAUCGAACAGG
rnacentral:rRNA from 1 species